rnacentral:rRNA from 1 species
UACGGGGGGGGGCAAGCGUUGUUCGGAAUUACUGGGCGUAAAGGGCUCGUAGGCGGCCAAUUAAGUCAGACGUGAAAUCCCUCGGCUUAACCGGGGAACUGCGUCUGAUACUGGAUGGCUUGAGUUCGGGAGAGGGAUGCGGAAUUCCAGGUGUAGCGGUGAAAUGCGUAGAUAUCUGGAGGAACACCGGUGGCGAAGGCGGCAUCCUGGACCAAUUCUGACGCUGAGGAGCGAAAGCCAGGGGAGCAAACGGG